rnacentral:rRNA from 1 species
AAACUGAAGAGUUUGAUUCUGGCUCAGAAUGAACGCUGGCGGCGUGCCUAAGACAUGCAAGUCGAACGAGAAAUGUUCUUCGGACGAGAGUAGAGUGGCGCACGGGUGAGUAACACUUGGGUAAUGUGCCGUUUCGCUGGGGAUAACUGAGGGAAACUUCAGCUAAUACCGAAUACUCCGAUCUAACCUGCGGGUUUAAUCGGGAAAGCCGUAAGGCGCGAAACGAUCGGCCCGA